rnacentral:rRNA from 1 species
AUGCGUAUGCAUCUUGAGGCAAUUGAUAACGAUCUCUGGUACGUUGUGGAAAAUGGCGUUCCCUCAGUCUCUCCGUCUCUCAAUGCUACCGAUGUGAAGAGAUUCAAACAACUCGAUUCUCAAGCGAAGAAUAUCAUAUGUGGCCAUCUGAGCAAAGGUCAGUACAGCAGAGUGAGUGCAUUGGAAACUGCCAAGCUGAUUUGGGACAGGCUGUCCAAGGUCAACGAAGGAGUCUCAACUCAACGUGACUCCCGAGUUAAUGUUCUUCGCAAUCUCUUCAACCGCUUCAAAAGACUCGACAAUAUUUAG